rnacentral:lncRNA from 1 species
CAGCGGCAGCCCGGGCAGCGGCGGGAAUGGGAACGCCAUCGCGGCCCCCGCCACCAAGGCGCGCGGCGCGCGUUGCUGCUCGGCGGCGUAGAGUCUGGCACCUUCAGCGGCGCACUCUCGGCACACAACACCGGCCGACCGCUCCUGGCCUUGGAUAAAUGCCGCAUAGAAUUCGUUCUCGACCGGAUUCUCGGACCACGCGUCGAUGAGGCCCAGCAGGCGUUCGACACCGUAGGCAUUGACCAGGCCGGCGUCGUCCAACACCGUGCGGACAAUGUCGUCGACGCCAGGUGCGUUCCGCGGUGUCGGUGCCUCUUCGACUGAUAUGCGCCGUCGUCGUGCCGCGGGCUCGGCCGUCGGACUAACAAUGGCUCUCUGCUCUUGGCGUUGACGGGUGCCGAGCGCUGCUUCGCGACGAUAGUUUUCAAUCAUGUCGAGGACAUAGUCGCGAUAGCCUUGGGCGUCGCCGCCGGCAGCCUCCCAGGCGUUCCAGUUGGCGAUCAGAUAGUCGAGCACGUCCGAGGGAAUGGCGCGCGUAGGACAGAUGAGACACACGUCCGGUGGAGGCACGAUGGCAACCGGACCCGCCGUGGUGGGCACCUCGGGCAGUACAUCGAUCGGCUGGCGCGCCAGCGGAUUGACGCCGCUGGCCAGCGUGGCCGAGGCGAUGUCGGCCGGCGUCGGGUACCGGGCGGCCUCUUGCGGCGUCAUCGCGGCGGCCGCCAAGAGGCCGGCGUCCAAGGCAUCGCGUCGACGUUUGGCCGAAACCGCGCGCGGUCCCUGUUCGGUUGCGGGCGGUGCGCGUGCGACGGGCAGGGGCGUGGGCGGCGCCUCAAAGACGCUAAAGCCGGCCGUCGACGGCCGAUAUGCGGGCGAAGGCGCCACGCGUGUCGGCGAGGGUUGUUGUUGUGGAGGGGGAACGGGUUGGACGGCGGCCGGCGGGGACGGGCCGACGAUGGCGGCCACGGGCGAAAGAGAGGCCACGAGGGGCGCCUCGGCGAUGGCCGCCUGGUUGGGGCCGACCACCACCGUCGACAGCGCCACCGCGUUGAGAUCUUGGCGGGCGCGCGCGCACGGGUCGCUCGCGGAGCCCCACGCCGCAGCCGACUCCCACGGACGCCCCGUCGGAUCAUAGUCGCGCUCCCAGUUGGCCACCAAGGCCUCGUCCGUGUCGCCGGCGAUCGGCAACAGGCCCACCAGGCGGUCGGCCACGGCGUCGGCCAACGAGGGGGCGUCGGCCGGGGCGCCCGGCUCGCCGGCCAGGGGCACGUCGGCCGGGAUGGCAAAGUAGACGCGCGGAUCGAGCCACCACCAGAAUUCGAGCAGCGGCGUGCCCUCGGCGGCGAUGGUCAGCUGGUAGUAGGGCCACGGCGCCAGGGGCACUUCGGACGUGGCCUGUUCGGGCGUGGCGGCAAAGCUGCCGUUGAGCCGAAAGAGGUAUUCGGCGACGGCGGCCGGCAGGGCGCGUAGGUAGUAGGCAUCGGUCGUCUCACCGGGCGCGGGCGUCGGCAGCGGCCGUUCAAGAGCCAAGACAGAGGCGAGGGCGCGCGCCAGGCCUUGGGGCGACUGAAACGGGUCCGGCAAACCGUUGGCGGCCGCCCACUCGCUCAGCUGGGGGCCGAUCGAGGCGGCGAAAUCGGUCUGGGCGAGGAACAUGUAGACGGCAAAGGCCACGAGGUUGCCUCCGGGACCCUGGAAUUGCGGCACGCCGAUCGCGGCCGCGGCCGCGCGCUGCUCGUCGGCGCGCGCACGGGCCUCUUGCACGGCGCGCUCGUAAUAGUACAUGACCGGCCGAAUCGACGCCGGAUCGAUGCCGACAUUGUCGGCCGAGAGCGCGUCGCACACGAAAAAGAGCAUCUCGGUGGGACCCAACGAGGCAAAGUCGGCGAGGCCGCGGUCGACCACGGCCUCUUCGAGCGCCGUGUAGGGCGGCGGCGACGCGGUAGGAGCCUCCAUCAGAAUAGUAGGGCGAAAAACGCACAAAAGAAGAGCGCACGCGCCGGUUCGGUCUGGUCGAGUUUGGGCCUCUUUUUUUUUGCCCCGUUCAAUGUAUGUGCUCGCCUCUCUGUAUGGGCUGGCAAGAGGAGGCCCUGUCGCCAAGAAAGGCUCGGCACAGAUAUGCUAUGGAGCCAAAAAGGAAAAAGGAAAGGACAGGGAAAACAAAGAGGCGAAGAGGCAAAGGCGCAAGGAUGCGAGCGAAUGAGAUGGGCGCGGUCGAACGGGCUGCGCGUGUGGGCACAGGGCAACGUGCGCUCGGUGGCCUGCCUUUUCCUUUUGGCGGUGCCUGUGUUUCGUCGCCUCGGUCGCUCUCGGCCUGCCGACCGCGCCGCUCGCGCUCGCCCGUUGGCGCGGGGCCGGACGAUUUGUGUCGACCUACUGCCAUCACGCCAAUCCUAUUGGGCCACGUUGCGACUCCUGGUUUGUGCGCCUUUUCUUUUUUUCUUCCUCCUCUCUGCUCCCGACCGAAAGGCGGCCUUUUUUGUGCUCGGCCCUUUCCGCUGCCGCCCACCCAAGAUGCCUCAACAAGCCUCGAAAAAGAACCCAAGACGGGA